rnacentral:tRNA from 1 species
GGAAGAGUAGCCUAACGGUAAGGCAGCAGUUUUGAAAACUGCCGUGAGGAGUUUACUUCUCUUGCGGGUUCGAGUCCCGUCUCUUCCUCCA